ensembl:lncRNA
UUGAUUGCAUGCCUCCACAUAAUCUUCCUCUUCUUCUUGGCUGUCGUCUGGUGGUAUAAUGUCACCAACACCAAGGCAGAUGUUGUGCAGCAUGGUGCAUGACACUAUUACCUGUAUGUACACAAAUAUGAAAACAUAAAUUGUCACCCUAAAUUGUAUAUUCUUUUAUCUGACACUGAAGUUGUGUGUUAAGUAAAGGUCAAAUAUAGAGAAAAAUAAUGCAACCUUUGGUGCAAAUGUUGGAUGCACUUCAAGUGCCUGAAGGAAGAUGGUUCUGAAUCGCGUCUUCAUCAAAGCACGCUCAAUAAUUGAGAGGCCUUUGGAAAGACGUGCAUUGAAGCGCUGAGUAGCUGGUGAGGCUGGAUUCUUAAAUUGCACAGAUUGGCUUCUCUGUGCAGGGGUACCCACCAUCGCAGAGGAGGAAAAAGCCCUGAGGUGGAUACUUUGCCUGUUUAAAAAUGGGGCUGUUCUUAAUCACCCGUGAGUCGUGGACACUCCCAGGGGUACCCAGUCUAAAAAUGCCCCUUGAUGGUCGCAUAUCCCUUGAAGCAGGAUAGAGGCAAACAGCUUUCUGUUUUUAUAACACUGUCCAUCAGGGUCAGCUGGUGGUUUUAUUCUCACAUGGCAUCCAUCAAUUGCUCCAACAGCUUUACCAAAUGCCUGGUGAUUGGUGGGAGAAGAAAUGGAGUCACCUCCAGACAUCUCCACUCCUGUAUGGCCACCAGCAGUGCGACCGCUGAUGCCACCAGUAGCUCCACCUGGUGUCUCUACAGUGAAUAACACCCCUAUUCCAUUCAGCCCCAUGCACCUGUGUGCUAAUGGCUUCUCCUGUUCUGGCUGGCAGCACUCCCGUGCAAACUCUCACCUGGGUACCACAAGUGGAUAACAUGCAACUAUGCACAUCAUCCAAAGGAGGAUCUCUUUCAAGUGCACAGCAUGACCUACCCAACGUUCUACCAACUCCUGGAAGAGAAAUUCAAAAGUUUACUUCUCAGGUACAAGGGAACUGGGAAAAUUUAUUUGACUUCAUAAAAAGACAAGAAAAAAUAUUGAAUGAUCUUACCCAAGAAAUGAAAGCCACUUCUUCUCAAAACAAAAAUGAAAUGGUGGACCUUGCUGCAAAAGUUGAGGAUAACAAGAGUUAAGUCUUCACUCUGUUGACCACUACCAAACAACAAGAGGAAUCUGAAACGGACAAGCUGGUUAAAGCUAUGAAGCAAAUGAUUACAGCUGAACUCCAAAAGGUGGAAUCUACCAUGAUGUCAGAAAUGCGAUUCAUGAUAGACCAACUCCAGUCAGAAAUCCAGCAGGAUAUCAA